CCUACGGGUGGCAGCAGUGGGGGAUAUUGCACAAUGGGGGGAACCCUGAUGCAGCGACGCCGCGUGGGUGAAGAAGGGCCUCGGCGCGUAAAGCCCUGUCAGCAGGGAAGAAAAUGACGGUACCUGAAGAAGAAGCCACGGGUAACUACGGGCCAGCAGCCGCGGUAACACGGGGGGGGCAAGCGUUAUCCGGAUUUACUGGGGGUAAAGGGGGCGUAGGCGGCGGUGCGAGCCAGGAGGGAAAGCCCGGGGCCCAACCCCCGGACUGCUCUUGAUACUGCGUGGCUGGAGUGCAGGAGGGGCAUGCGGAAUGCGUGGUGUAGCGGUGAAAUGCGUAGAUAUCAGGAGGAACACCGAUGGCGAAGGCAGCCUGCUGGACUGCAACUGACGUUGAGGCACGAAAGCGUGGGGAGCAAACAGGAUUAGAUACCCCAGUAGUC
rnacentral:rRNA from 1 species